rnacentral:lncRNA from 1 species
GUGUUAGUUCAGUGUUAGUUCAGUGUGUUAGUUCAGUGUUAGUUCAGUGUUAGUUCAGUGUUAGUUCAGUGUGUUAGUUCAGUGUUAGUUCAGUGUUAGUUCAGUGUUAGUUCAGUGUUAGUUCAGUGUUAGUUCAGUGUUAGUUCAGUGUGUUAGUUCAGUGUUAGUUCAGUGUUAGUUCAGUGUUAGUUCAGUGUUAGUUCAGUGUUAGUUCAGUGUUUCUUCAGUGUUUCUUCAGUGUUUCUUCAGUGUUAGUUCAGUGUUAGUUCAGUGUUAGUUCAGUGUUAGUUCAGUGUUUUAGUUCAGUGUUAGUUCAGUGUUAGUUCAGUGUUAGUUCAGUGUUAGUUCAGUGUUAGUUCAGUGUGUUAGUUCAGUGUUAGUUCAGUGUUAGUUCAGUGUUUUAGUUCAGUGUUAGUUCAGUGUUAGUUCAGUGUUAGUUCAGUGUUUCUUCAGUGUUAGUUCAGUGUUAGUUCAGUGUUAGUUCAGUGUUAGUUCAGUGUUUUAGUUCAGUGUUAGUUCAGUGUUAGUUCAGUGUGUUAGUUCAGUGUUUCGUUCAGUGUUAGUUCAGUGUUAGUUCAGUGUGUUAGUUCAGUGUUAGUUCAGUGUGUUAGUUCAGUGUUAGUUCAGUGUUAGUUCAGUGUUAGUUCAGUGUUUCUUCAGUGUUAGUUCAGUGUGUUAGUUCAGUGUUAGUUCAGUGUUAGUUCAGUGUUAGUUCAGUGUUAGUUCAGUGUUAGUUCAGUGUGUUAGUUCAGUGUUAGUUCAGUGUUAGUUCAGUGUUAGUUCAGUGUUAGUUCAGUGUUAGUUCAGUGUUUUAGUUCAGUGUUAGUUCAGUGUUAGUUCAGUGUUAGUUCAGUGUUAGUUCAGUGUUAGUUCAGUGUUUCUUCAGUGUUUCUUCAGUGUUAGUUCAGUGUUAGUUCAGUGUUAGUUCAGUGUUUUAGUUCAGUGUUAG